AGAGUUUGAUCAUGGCUCAGAUUGAACGCUGGCGGCAGGCCUAACACAUGCAAGUCGAACGGUAACAGGAAGCAGCUUGCUGCUUCGCUGACGAGUGGCGGACGGGUGAGUAAUGUCUGGGAAACUGCCUGAUGGAGGGGGAUAACUACUGGAAACGGUAGCUAAUACCGCAUAAUGUCGCAAGACCAAAGAGGGGGACCUUCGGGCCUCUUACCAUCGGAUGUGCCCAGAUGGGAUUAGCUUGUUGGUGGGGUAACGGCUCACCAAGGCGACGAUCCCUAGCUGGUCUGAGAGGAUGACCAGCCACACUGGAACUGAGACACGGUCCAGACUCCUACGGGAGGCAGCAGUGGGGAAUAUUGCACAAUGGGCGCAAGCCUGAUGCAGCCAUGCCGCGUGUAUGAAGAAGGCCUUCGGGUUGUAAAGUACUUUCAGCGGGGAGGAAGGGAGUAAAGUUAAUACCUUUGCUCAUUGACGUUAUCCGCAGAAGAAGCACCGGCUAACUCCGUGCCAGCAGCCGCGGUAAUACGGAGGGUGCAAGCGUUAAUCGGAAUUACUGGGCGUAAAGCGCACGCAGGCGGUUUGUUAAGUCAGAUGUGAAAUCCCCGGGCUCAACCUGGGAACUGCAUCUGAUACUGGCAAGCUUGAGUCUCGUAGAGGGGGGUAGAAUUCCAGGUGUAGCGGUGAAAUGCGUAGAGAUCUGGAGGAAUACCGGUGGCGAAGGCGGCCCCCUGGACGAAGACUGACGCUCAGGUGCGAAAGCGUGGGGAGCAAACAGGAUUAGAUACCCUGGUAGUCCACGCCGUAAACGAUGUCGACUUGGAGGUUGUGCCCUUGAGGCGUGGCUUCCGGAGCUAACGCGUUAAGUCGACCGCCUGGGGAGUACGGCCGCAAGGUUAAAACUCAAAUGAAUUGACGGGGGCCCGCACAAGCGGUGGAGCAUGUGGUUUAAUUCGAUGCAACGCGAAGAACCUUACCUGGUCUUGACAUCCACGGAAGUUUUCAGAGAUGAGAAUGUGCCUUCGGGAACCGUGAGACAGGUGCUGCAUGGCUGUCGUCAGCUCGUGUUGUGAAAUGUUGGGUUAAGUCCCGCAACGAGCGCAACCCUUAUCCUUUGUUGCCAGCGGUCCGGCCGGGAACUCAAAGGAGACUGCCAGUGAUAAACUGGAGGAAGGUGGGGAUGACGUCAAGUCAUCAUGGCCCUUACGACCAGGGCUACACACGUGCUACAAUGGCGCAUACAAAGAGAAGCGACCUCGCGAGAGCAAGCGGACCUCAUAAAGUGCGUCGUAGUCCGGAUUGGAGUCUGCAACUCGACUCCAUGAAGUCGGAAUCGCUAGUAAUCGUGGAUCAGAAUGCCACGGUGAAUACGUUCCCGGGCCUUGUACACACCGCCCGUCACACCAUGGGAGUGGGUUGCAAAAGAAGUAGGUAGCUUAACCUUCGGGAGGGCGCUUACCACUUUGUGAUUCAUGACUGGGGUGAAGUCGUAACAAGGUAACCGUAGGGGAACCUGCGGUUG
rnacentral:rRNA from 1 species